UGACGACGUUGCUAACACUAACCCUAG
rnacentral:sRNA from 1 species